CAGAGAAUCUCGCCCUUCUGGGUGACUCUCCAACCCUAUGUUAUCUAUCCAUGUUGCUUUGGCGAGCCGCUUCGGCCACUGGCUUUCAGCUGGUGUGUGCUCGCCAGAGGACCCUAAACUCUGAAUUAUAAUGUCGUCUGAGUACUAUAAAAUAGUUA
rnacentral:misc_RNA from 1 species